rnacentral:lncRNA from 1 species
GUGAAUGUGAGCGCGCACGUCCAGCGAGAGCCUCCUGCUGCUCUCCUCUCGCUCCCAUAUAUACCAAGCCGGCUAGUGUAUACAGGGAGGUUGGAUCCAUUUUGCUCUCAGUCGGCCGGCCAUUCAUUCCUUCCCUCCCACUGCAAAGUCAUACAUACACGCAUAGAAACAAAUAGGAAAAACAAAAAGCAAGGAGACCAGCGUUCUGCCUGCGGAGGUGAGAAGGUGGGAAUCAUGGUUCUUCUCUAGCCCAUGGUUCGGCCACCAAGGUACGAGCCAUGGGGCUUUCUUCUUCCUCCUUUUCCAAAACUCUAGGCCUUGAUUCGGCCAUCACGAUACAAAUUAAGGUGUUGGUUUCAUCUCAUCAAAUCAUGCACUUAGUUUCGGUCGCUUGGUUCAGAUCAAGGAGUUCUUUCUUCUCACAUAUGGAAUAUUGUCCUUAGUUUCGGCCGCUUGGUUCGNUUCGGAUCAAGGAACAUGUUUUUUUUUCUUUCUUCACGUGGACAUGCCAUGUGUGGAAAAAAUCAUAAAAUGCUCUACGCAUGGGUUCCUUACAUUUGAAUUCCAUGACAUGAAAAUACAUUUCGUGCAUGGGUUCUUUCUCACGAAUUCCAUGAGGCGAGCCAUUAAAUGACUAAGCCAUGAGCCAAUACACAAUUACGCUAUGUCAUGGGUUC